AUUGAACGCUGGCGGCAGGCCUAACACAUGCAAGUCGAGCGGUAACAGAUCUAGCUUGCUAGAUGCUGACGAGCGGCGGACGGGUGAGUAAUGCAUAGGAAUCUGCCCGAUAGUGGGGGAUAACCUGGGGAAACCCAGGCUAAUACCGCAUACGUCCUACGGGAGAAAGGGGGCUUCGGCUCCCGCUAUUGGAUGAGCCUAUGUCGGAUUAGCUAGUUGGUGAGGUAAUGGCUCACCAAGGCAACGAUCCGUAGCUGGUCUGAGAGGAUGAUCAGCCACAUCGGGACUGAGACACGGCCCGAACUCCUACGGGAGGCAGCAGUGGGGAAUAUUGGACAAUGGGCGCAAGCCUGAUCCAGCCAUGCCGCGUGUGUGAAGAAGGCCUUCGGGUUGUAAAGCACUUUCAGCGAGGAAGAACGCCUAGGGGUUAAUACCCCCUAGGAAAGACAUCACUCGCAGAAGAAGCACCGGCUAACUCCGUGCCAGCAGCCGCGGUAAUACGGAGGGUGCGAGCGUUAAUCGGAAUUACUGGGCGUAAAGCGCGCGUAGGUGGCUUGAUAAGCCGGUUGUGAAAGCCCCGGGCUCAACCUGGGAACGGCAUCCGGAACUGUCAAGCUAGAGUGCAGGAGAGGAAGGUAGAAUUCCCGGUGUAGCGGUGAAAUGCGUAGAGAUCGGGAGGAAUACCAGUGGCGAAGGCGGCCUUCUGGACUGACACUGACACUGAGGUGCGAAAGCGUGGGUAGCAAACA
rnacentral:rRNA from 1 species